AGUGUUUAGACUGUCUGAGAACUGGGCUGCCAGGUUCCUCUCCCUCAUCCACACCUGCCCCAGUCUAGAGGACAUCAGUGUUCAGGUGAAAGAAGACUGUUUUCAGGCCUUCUACCAGUGUCUCAGUGUAUCAGUUGCUGAUGGAAACUUCAGGUUCACUUUUAAAGAUGAGAGAUUGGUUGAUGGAUUCCCUAAACCACUCCCACAUAUCCGUUUCUUUGGUCCAGAGUCAGAGAGAUCCAACAUCAACUGGACAAGACUGACAGAGAUCAUUUACAGAAUAAAAGACUCCAG